CAGCCGCGGUAAUACAGAGGUGCCGAGCGUUAGGCGGAAUCACUGGGCUUAAAGCGUGUGUAGGCGGAUGCCUAAGUACCUUGUGAAAUCCCACAGCUCAACUGUGGAACUGCUCGGUAUACUGGGUGUCUUGAGCCACUUAGGGGCUACCGGAACAAAUGGUGGAGCGGUGAAAUGCGUAGAUAUCAUUUGGAACGCCAAUGGUGAAAACAGGUAGCUGGGAGUGUGCUGACGCUGAGACACGAAAGCCAGGGGAGCGAACGGGAUUAGAUACCCCGGUAGUCCUGGCCGUAAACGAUGUCGACUAGAUCGUGGCAGCUCUGACGUUGUCACGGUCGAAGCAAAAGUGCUAA
rnacentral:rRNA from 1 species